rnacentral:rRNA from 1 species
AACGAACGCUGGCGGCAUGCCUAACACAUGCAAGUCGAACGAGCCCUUCGGGUCUUGUGGCGCACGGGUGCGUCACGCGUGGGAACCUGCACUUAGGUUUGGAAUAACUCCCCGACAGGGGUGCUAAUACCGGAUAAUGUCUUCGGACCAAAGAUUUAUCGCCUUUGUAUGGGCCCGCGUUGGAUUAGCUAGUUGGUAGGGUAAUAGCCUACUAAGGCGACGAUCCAUAGCUGGUCUGAGAGGAUGAUCAGCCACACUGGGACUGAGACACGGCCCAGACUCCUACGGGAGGCAGCAGUGGGGAAUAUUGGACAAUGGGCGAAAGCCUGAUCCAGCAAGGCCGCGUGAGUGAUGAAGGCCUUAGGGUUGUAAAGCUCUUGUACCCGGGAUGAUAAUGACGGUACCGGGAGAAUAAGCUCCGGCUAACUCCGUG